rnacentral:rRNA from 1 species
GGUAACAGGAAGCAGCUUGCUGCUUUGCUGACGAGUGGCGGACGGGUGAGUAAUGUCUGGGAAACUGCCUGAUGGAGGGGGAUAACUACUGGAAACGGUAGCUAAUACCGCAUAACGUCGCAAGACCAAAGAGGGGGACCUUCGGGCCUCUUGCCAUCGGAUGUGCCCAGAUGGGAUUAGCUAGUAGGUGGGGUAACGGCUCACCUAGGCGACGAUCCCUAGCUGGUCUGAGAGGAUGACCAGCCACACUGGAACUGAGACACGGUCCAGACUCCUACGGGAGGCAGCAGUGGGGAAUAUUGCACAAUGGGCGCAAGCCUGAUGCAGCCAUGCCGCGUGUAUGAAGAAGGCCUUCGGGUUGUAAAGUACUUUCAGCGGGGAGGAAGGUGUUGAGGUUAAUAACCUCAGCAAUUGACGUUACCCGCAGAAGAAGCACCGGCUAACUCCGUGCCAGCAGCCGCGGUAAUACGGAGGGUGCAAGCGUUAAUCGGAAUUACUGGGCGUAAAGCGCACGCAGGCGGUCUGUCAAGUCGGAUGUGAAAUCCCCGGGCUCAACCUGGGAACUGCAUUCGAAACUGGCAGGCUAGAGUCUUGUAGAGGGGGGUAGAAUUCCAGGUGUAGCGGUGAAAUGCGUAGAGAUCUGGAGGAAUACCGGUGGCG